GCUGUGUCUUUUGAUUGGGGGAUUUAGUCGAUUUAAAUUUAGGAUUAAUAAUAAUAUAUAUGAGUAUAAUACUGCCAUUUGAUGUUGGCUGGCUGUUUUGCCCAUUAGUUGAUGCAAAUUCUUCAUCAUGUUGAUGCUCUUUACCUUCUGUGUGUUUUGAGAGUGGC